AGCUCCAAUAGCGUAUAUUAAAGUUGUUGCAGUUAAAAAGCUCGUAGUUGGAUUUCGGGGCGGCCUGUCUGGUCCGUCGCGAGACGAGUACUGGUCAGCCGCCCUUCCUCUCGAAAGCCCCGACUGCUCUUAACUGCAGUGGUCGGGUAGUUCGGGACGUUUACUUUGAAAAAAUUAGAGUGUUCAAGGCAGGCGUCACUAGCUUGAAUACAUGAGCAUGGAAUAAUGGAAUAGGACCUCGGUCCCUAUUUCGUUGGUUUUAUGGACCGAGGUAAUGAUUAAGAGGGACAGUUGGGGGCAUCCGUAUUUCGCAGUCAGAGGUGAAAUUCUUGGAUCUGCGAAAGACGAACAAGUGCGAAAGCAUUUGCCAAGAGUGUUUUCAUUAAUCAAGAACGAAAGU
rnacentral:rRNA from 1 species